UUUAAAUAAUUAUGAGCUAUCGGGAGAAAAUUUACUUCUUCUUCAAGAUUUGGUGAAGCGUCGGGCGGCACCAGCAUCGGAUAAUUGGAGUCUUCAUGAGGUGGAUGUACGAGAUUACGCGAAUACAUAUUAAAUUGCCUUGGAAAAGUUAAAAAUAUUGCAACAAAAGGAAUAUGCGUUUUCUACGGACAAUGAAGAAACCAUAAACAGAAGGCAAGAUGUUCUAAAAAAACAAUACCGCUUGAAUAAAGGGCGUUUUGUAAAUCAGAAUAACGUCGAUCAGCAGUUGUCGGAAUGUAACAUAAAUUUAGGCAAUAAGUCGCGCAAUGCUUCAAUGUUUAAUGUCUUAAAGACAGUGAACUUGUGAAGUGUUUAUAUGGUAUAAUGACAACUGAAUCAAUUAAAAAUCCGCAGUUGAGCCCUAUUAAAGAGCAAGCAUUUAACCAAGCCCUCGGGAAGGUUAUAAAUUAUUCCCGUGAUUGGGAGAAUGGGAGAGAUCAUAGGCGGAC